rnacentral:lncRNA from 1 species
AAGAUUUAUCUAGGUUUCAGGCCAUGCUUUCCCAAAAGCAUAUAAACAGUAUGGUACAACUCAGGUACUGGAAGGAUAUAAACAGUAUGGUACAUUUUGCCUCCACAUUGGAACUAGUAUGAACUUUUCUGACUCCUCUAAAUUACCUUAGAAAGUUCAUGAAGAGAAGGUGUCGCCUCCUUAGUUUCCUCUUUAUUCAACUCCAUCCA